rnacentral:piRNA from 1 species
UAAUACUUUAACGGUUAAUGU